rnacentral:lncRNA from 1 species
AUGAACAAGUGCAUAAACAUUCAGGCAAUGCACAAACCUCUUCGUUAGAAACUAACCGGAGUUUCAAUUUUCCACUUGUGUGCAUCCGGCUCAAGGCUAUCAAGUUGGAUUUUUUAAUUUUGGAAGAAACGGAAUAACCUAAUACAUAAUGAACAUAGGAUACAUAUCAUUCAUGGUAAUUAAAGGUACUAAAACAUAAGGUAUCAAGUAAAUUCCAGAGAUAGCGCCAUCUUUUUGAGAGAUCGCUUGUUAUGAGUGUUUGAUCAUUCAGUAUAAGAGAGCGAGGGAGAAGAGCAUCCGGCAAUUGACUGAUUUGGUCUACAGCUUUAGGUCUUGUGGACGACCGACCAAAGGAGCUCUUGGAGUUUCAAAUUAAUUAUACCGCGUGUUACUCUUUUAAGUGCCCAAUUCGUCAAAGUCUUAUGCUUCUCUUCAUUCAUUUUCAUUUCUUCCAUUUGUAAUUUAUCACUGCUCUCUCCCUCUAAUUUCUCCAUUUUCCCCUUGCUUUUACUUGGUGCGAAUAGAAAGUAUAAUACACAACAUUCUUGGAUUUACUUGGCAUGUUUUAAAUCUUGUGACGCUGCACACUCCAGCUUAUACUCUCCCUCAUUGAACUAAAAAGUAGAAAUCGAUUUUGUGUGUGUGUGUCUCUUUCUUACCUAGUUCUUUUGUUCAGAAAGUACGAGCAACUGUGGUAAAGAGCAACUUGAAUCCAAUUCAUGGGACUGUAAGGCUGGUAGACAUUCCAUUUCACAUUUGUCUGGUAAUUUUACUUACCUUUUUCUCCAUUUUAUUUUGUCAAUGUAACUCCUCAAUGAUUUACUUUGAAUGUGUCAGAUAACCAAUAGGUUCAAGAAAGGAAAAAUACUUUUUGGUGUAAAUACAUCUCACCCUCCCACACCCCCACUUGUUGUUGUUAGUAAUAGUAGUAGAGAAUACUUCAGAAUUCUCUGAAAGACUAAAUCUACUUAACUACAACUUUCUACUUUUAGCCUAAGUUUUGGUAAUCAUUUCUUCCAAUGCGCACUGAUCAUAUCCCACAUUUUUAAAAAAAAUUCAAGCCAUUUAAGAAAUCAUUGAAAGACUUAAUCUUUCAACUAAAAAUUUCCACUUUUAGCCUAGCUUUUUGGUAAUUAUUUCUUCCAAGUGCAUGUAUCUAUCAGCCCGUGGUUUUUCAUUGUGUUCGGUUGACAUUUGCUAGCAAUUUAUCCCUUAGCGCUUAUUUUGUGAAUAAAUGGAACUCGUGUUGAUUAGCCAACCCUUAUUUGAAUUCUUUUUCUGCUUGAGCGAAUAUUACUCGAGAUCUGCUUAAGUUUUAGCUAGUCUGAUCAGCUUUAAUAUGUGGAUUUGUGUUGAUUCUUUUUUCAAUUUGUUUGUGGCAAUAAUAGUUAUCACCCAUUGAUCAUUUUGCUGUCACAGUGAUAGAUAUAUAAUGGUACAUCUAAAUCAUCAUGUAAAUGGCAUCGAGUGUUGCUCAAAGUUAGAGGCCAGACUCUGGUAGGCGAUCUAGUGGUAAGAAUAUCGACCUGCUAAUAAUAUAAGAAGAAAGUUGUUGGGAGAUAAAUGACAUUCUAAAGCAUGUCUCUGCAUGCCCACGGUAUCCUUCCCGAGUUUUGCAAAACUUCUAUUAUGUCUCCUAUCCUUUCUUAUGAAUUCCCAGUUUUUGAAGGAGUAGUAGCCUCUAUCUCUGGAUAGGCUUAUUCGUUUUCCAUACAUCGUUGAUAUAUUAUUCCUGAAGAGCCAAGGUGAGAACUUAUGAAGGCCAUGAAAGCCAAUGUUUUUUUUUCUUUUAAACAUCAACAGUGCAUCUUUAAAAAGGAAGUACAGAGACUGUGGGAGUUGUCUAGCAAAACAGACUCCCCUGCUAAGAUUGAAAUGCAUGUUUUAAGCAAAAAUUAAGGUAAAUGAAAGCUGAUGUGAACAAUGAUUCAACUGCAACUACUUAGAUUCCAAUUCAUGAAUAAAGACGGAGUUUAGAAAGAAAAUAAUUUGUUCUUGAGUGAAGCUCUUAAACAUGGUUCUUCUAGGCCCUUAGCUGCUUUAUAUCUUUGCCUUUAUAUUCAAAAAUUGUUCCAGUGAUGAUAAAGGUUCAAUUAGCGUUAUAUUUUUUAUGAUUCUUUUGUGGUUGUUGGUAUUUGUGAUGACUUAUAUGAGGGCUUACUUGAUUCAAAUAUGUGAUUCUGAUUCAUUAUUUUGUUUGUUAAAUUACUCAAAGGUUAACCAAGUCCCUUUUGCAGUCACUUUUUGGCUUCCAUGGAAUAAUGGUAAUUAAAGUUAAAACUUAUUUGUCUUCUUCGCGUGUUCUGAUCCACUCUACCAUAAACGAUGAACAAGUGCAUAAACAUUCAGGCAAUGCACAAACCUCUUCUUCCGAAACUAACUGGAGUUUCAUAUUUUCCACCUGUGUGCAUCCAGCUCAAGGCUAUCAAGUUGGAUUUUUUAAUUUUGGAAAAAAAUGGAAUAACCUAAUACAUAAUGAACAUAGGAUACAUAUCGUUCAUGGUAAUUAAAAGUACUAAAACAAAAGGUAUCAAGUCAAUUCCAGAGAUAGCGCCACCUUUUUGAGAGAGCUGUUGUUACGAGUGUUUGAUCACUCGGUAUAAGAGAGCGAAGGAGAAGAGCAUCCGGCAAUUGACUGAUUUGGUCUACAACUUUAGGUCUUGUCGACGACCAAAGGAGCUCUUGGAGUUUCACAUUAAUUAUACCGCGUUUUACUCUUUUAAGUGCCCAAAUCGUCAAAGUCUUACGUUUCUCUUCAUUCAUUUUCAUUUCUUCCAUUUGUCAUUUAUCACUGCUCUCUCCCUGUAAUUUGUCCAUUUUCCCCUUUCUUUUACUUGGUGUGAAUAGAAAGUAUAUAAUACAAAAUAUUCUUGGAUUUACUUGGCAUGUUUUAGAUUUUGUGACUCUGUACACUCCAACUUAUACAUACUCUCCCUCAUUGAACUGACAAGUAGAAAUGGAUUUUGUGUGUAUCUCUUUCUUACCUAGUUCUUUUAUUCAGAGAGUACAAGCAACUGUAGUAAAGAGC